GGGGAUUUAGCUCAGUGGUAGAGUGCUUGCCUAGCAAGCACAAGGCCCUGGGUUCGAUCCUCAGCUCUG
rnacentral:tRNA from 1 species